AUUGCCCUAGUAACGGCGAGUGAAGCGGCAACAGCUCAAAUUUGAAAUCUGGCCCUCGGGUCCGAGUUGUAAUUUGUAGAGGAUGCUUUUGGUGAGGUACCUUCCGAGUUCCCUGGAACGGGACGCCAUAGAGGGUGAGAGCCCCGUCUGGUCGGAUACCAAUCCUCUGUAAAGCUCCUUCGACGAGUCGAGUAGUUUGGGAAUGCUGCUCUAAAUGGGAGGUAUAUGUCUUCUAAAGCUAAAUAUUGGCCAGAGACCGAUAGCGCACAAGUAGAGUGAUCGAAAGAUGAAAAGCACUUUGAAAAGAGGGUUAAACAGUACGUGAAAUUGUUGAAAGGGAAGCGCUUGUGACCAGACUUGGGCCCGGUUAAUCAUCCAGCGUUCUCGCUGGUGCACUUGGCCGGCCCAGGCCAGCAUCAGUUCGGUGUGGGGGAUAAAGGCGGCGGGAAUGUGGCUCCUCCGGGAGUGUUAUAGCCCACCGUGUAAUACCCUGUGCUGGACUGAGGUUCGCGCAUUCGCAAGGAUGCUGGCGUAAUGGUCAUUAGCGACCCGUCUUGAAACACGGACCAAGGAGUCGUCUUCGUAUGCGAGUGUUCGGGUGUUAAACCCCUACGCGUAAUGAAAGUGAACGCAGGUGAGAGCUUCGGCGCAUCAUCGACCGAUCCUGAUGUUCUCGGAUGGAUUUGAGUAAGAGCAUACGGGGCCGGACCCGAAAGAAGGUGAACUAUGCCUGUAUAGGGUGAAGCCAGAGGAAACUCUGGUGGAGGCUCGCAGCGGUUCUGACGUGCAAAUCGAUCGUCAAAUAUGGGCAUGGGGGCGAAAGACUAAU
rnacentral:rRNA from 1 species